CAGCAGCAGCCGCGGUAAUACGUAGGGUGCGAGCGUUAAUCGGAAUUACUGGGCGUAAAGCGUGCGCAGGCGGUUGUGUAAGACAGGUGUGAAAUCCCCGGGCUUAACCUGGGAGCUGCGCUUGUGACUGCACAGCUAGAGUAUGGCAGAGGGGGGUGGAAUUCCACGUAUAGCAGUGAAAUGCGUAGAGAUGUGGAGGAACACCGAUGGCGAAGGCAGCCCCCUGGGCCAAUACUGACGCUCAUGCACGAAAGCGUGGGGAGCAAACAGGAUUAGAGACCCCUGUAGUCCCUGUCUCUUAUAC
rnacentral:rRNA from 1 species